CGUAGUAGUAUUCAGAUUUCUUCAUAGAGGAGGUUACAGGUCUGGUUUAAGGGGUAAGUUUCAGCUAGCGCUAUUUGCCGACAAUUCACAGUUCAGUCCAUCAUUUCUGGAAGCCACUUUCCUCAGUUGUGAGUCCACAAAGGAGGCUUCCUAUUAGGGAUACUAGUCGGAGACACAUCUCGACGUGGCAAUAUUUAUCACUAUCGGCAGAUAAAGGUGGGUACUUCUUGCUUUAUCUCUUUAGUAUUUUGAUCCUAGUGCAUGAGCUUUAUGUUCA